rnacentral:rRNA from 1 species
CACUUGUUCUUUAAAUGUGGACUAGUAUGAAUGGCACCACGAAGGUUAUACUGUCUCCUUUUUCUAAUCAGUGAAACUAAUCUCCCCGUGAAGAAGCGGGGAUAAAACUAUAAGACGAGAAGACCCUAUGGAGCUUUAAACAACAUAGCACUUGCCACACACCAUUAAAAUUCCAGAAUCUUUAAUUCUCUGAGCAAUAUGACUAUAAGUUUUUGGUUGGGGUGACCGCGGAGCAUAACACAACCUCCAUGUUGAAAGAAUCAUCUUCUAAGCUAAGAACUACAACUCUAAGCAUCAACAUAUUGACAUCCAUUGACCCAAUACACUUGAACAACGAACCAAGUUACCCUAGGGAUAACAGCGCAAUCCACUUCAAGAGCUCCUAUCGACAAGUGGGUUUACGACCUCGAUGUUGGAUCAGGGUUUCCCAGUGGUGCAGCCGCUACUAAAGGUUCGUUUGUUCAACGAUUAAAA